rnacentral:rRNA from 1 species
AGAGUUUGAUCAUGGCUCAGGACGAACGCUGGCGGCGUGCCUAACACAUGCAAGUCGAGCGGGGUCCAUCCAGUGGCAACACUGGUGAAGACCUAGCGGCGAACGGGUGAGUAACACGUGAGAAACCUGCCCUGAAGUCUGGGAUAACCCGAGGAAACUCGAGCUAAUACCGGAUACCCCCACCGAGUCGCAUGGCCCGGUGAGGAAAGAUUUAUCGCUUCAGGAGGGUCUCGCGGCCUAUCAGCUAGUUGGCGGGGUAACGGCCCACCAAGGCAUCGACGGGUAGCUGGUCUGAGAGGACGAUCAGCCACACUGGGACUGAGACACGGCCCAGACUCCUACGGGAGGCAGCAGUGGGGAAUAUUGCGCAAUGGGCGAAAGCCUGACGCAGCAACGCCGCGUGCGGGAUGAAGGCCUUCGGGUUGUAAACCGCUUUCAGUGGGGACGAAAACAGACGGUACCCACAGAAGAAGCCCCGGCCAACUACGUGCCAGCAGCCGCGGUAACACGUAGGGGGCGAGCGUUGUCCGGAUUUAUUGGGCGUAAAGAGCUCGUAGGCGGCUCGGUAAGUGAGGUGUGAAAACUCCAGGCUCAACCUGGAGACGCCACCUCAUACUGCCGUGGCUAGAGUCCGGUAGGGGAGCAUGGAAUUCCUGGUGUAGCGGUGAAAUGCGCAGAUAUCAGGAGGAACACCAGUGGCGAAGGCGGUGCUCUGGGCCGGAACUGACGCUGAGGAGCGAAAGCGUGGGGAGCAAACAGGAUUAGAUACCCUAGUAGUCC